GCCGACGUAGCUCAAUGGUAGAGCAACUGUUUUGUAAACAGUAGGUUGAGGGUCCGAUUCCCUCCCUCGGCUCCA
rnacentral:tRNA from 1 species